GACGAACGCUGGCGGCGUGCUUAACACAUGCAAGUCGAGCGGAAAGGCCACUUCGGUGGUACUCGAGCGGCGAACGGGUGAGUAACACGUGAGUAAUCUGCCCUUGGCUUUGGGAUAGCCACCGGAAACGGUGAUUAAUACCGGAUACGACCACUUCUCGCAUGGGAUGGUGGUGGAAAGUUUUUCGGCCAGGGAUGUGCUCGCGGCCUAUCAGCUUGAUGGUGAGGUAAUGGCUCACCAUGGCUUCGACGGGUAGCCGGCCUGAGAGGGUGACCGGUCACACUGGGACUGAGACACGGCCCAGACUCCUACGGGAGGCAGCAGUGGGGAAUAUUGGACAAUGGGCGGAAGCCUGAUCCAGCAACGCCGCGUGAGGGAUGACGGCCUUCGGGUUGUAAACCUCUUUCAGCAGGGACGAAGCGCAAGUGACGGUACCUGCAGAAGAAGCACCGGCCAACUACGUGCCAGCCGCCGCGGUAAGAC
rnacentral:rRNA from 1 species